CUUGAACGCUGGCGGCAGGCCUAACACAUGCAAGUCGAACGAGCGGCGGACGGGUGAGUAAUGUCUGGGAAACUGCCUGAUGGAGGGGGAUAACUACUGGAAACGGUAGCUCAUACCGCAUACCAUCAGAUGUGCCCAGAUGGGAUUAGCUAGUAGGUGGGGUAACGGCUCACCUAGGCGAAGAUCCCUAGCUGGUCUGAGAGGAUGACCAGCCACUCUGGAACUGAGACACGGUCCAGACGCCUACGGGAGGCAGCAGUGGGAAAUAUUGCACAAUAGGCGGAAGUCUGAUGCAGCCAUGCCGCGUGUGUGAAGAAGGCCUUCGGGUUGUAAAGCACUUUCAGCGGGGAGGCGUUACCCGCAGAAGGAGCACCGGCUAACGCCGUGCCAGCAGCCGCGGUAAGUC
rnacentral:rRNA from 1 species